rnacentral:rRNA from 1 species
GACGAACGCUGGCGGCGUGCUUAACACAUGCAAGUCGAACGGAAAGGCCCUGCUGUUGUGGGGUGCUCGAGUGGCGAACGGGUGAGUAACACGUGAGUAACCUGCCCUUGACUUUGGGAUAACUUCAGGAAACUGGGGCUAAUACCGGAUAGGAGCUCCUGCUGCAUGGUGGGGGUUGGAAAGUUUCGGCGGUUGGGGAUGGACUCGCGGCUUAUCAGCUUGUUGGUGGGGUAGUGGCUUACCAAGGCUUUGACGGGUAGCCGGCCUGAGAGGGUGACCGGCCACAAGGGGACUGAGGUACGGCCCAGACUGGUACGUGAGGCAGCAGUGGAGAGUAUUACGGAAUGGGCGGGAGCCUGAUGUGACAACGCCGCGUGCGUAAUGACGGCUUUCUGGUUAUAAACAGCUUUCUACUGUGACGAAGCGUGAGUGACGGUAAUGGGUAAGGAAGCACCGGCUAACUACGUG